UACGUAGGGGGCAAGCGUUGUCCGGAAUUAUUGGGCGUAAAGAGCGCGUAGGCGGUCCGAUAAGUCGGCUGUGAAAGUCAGGGGCUCAACCCUUGAAAGCCGGCCGAUACUGUCGGACUAGAGUCCGGAAGAGGCAAGUGGAAUUCCCGGUGUAGCGGUGAAAUGCGCAGAUAUCGGGAGGAACACCAAUUGCGAAGGCAGCUCACUACACAAAGAUUGACACUGAGGCACGAAAGCGUGGGGAUCAAACAGGAUUAGAA
rnacentral:rRNA from 1 species